rnacentral:rRNA from 1 species
AACGAACGCUGGCGGCAGGCCUAACUCAUGCAAGUCGAGCGGACCCUUCGGGGUUAGCGGCGGACGGGUGAGUAACGCGUGGGAAUAUGCCCUUCUCUACGGAAUAGUCCUGGGAAACUGGGGGUAAUACCGUAUACGCCCUUUGGGGGAAAGAUUUAUCGGGGAAGGAUUAGCCCGCGUUGGAUUAGGUAGUUGGUGGGGUAAUGGCCUACCAAGCCGACGAUCCAUAGCUGGUUUGAGAGGAUGAUCAGCCACACUGGGACUGAGACACGGCCCAGACUCCUACGGGAGGCAGCAGUGGGGAAUCUUAGACAAUGGGGGCAACCCUGAUCUAGCCAUGCCGCGUGAGUGAUGAAGGCCUUAGGGUUGUAAAGCUCUUUCAGCUGGGAAGAUAAUGACGGUACCAGCAGAAGAAGCCCCGGCUAACUCCGUG